CGAAAGCCUGACGGAGCAACGCCGCGUGAGGGAGGAAGGCCUUAGGGUUGUAAACCUCUUUUCUCAGGGAAGAAAAAAAUGACGGUACCUGAGGAAUAAGCAUCGGCUAACUCCGUGCCAGCAGCCGCGGUAAUACGGAGGAUGCAAGCGUUAUCCGGAAUGAUUGGGCGUAAAGGGUCCGCAGGUGGCAUUGUAAGUCUGCUGUUAAAGAGUCACGCUCAACGGGAUAAAAGCAGUGGAAACUACAAAGCUAGAGUAUGGUCGGGGCAGAAGGAAUUCCUGGUGUAGCGGUGAAAUGCGUAGAUAUCAGGAAGAACACCGGUGGCGAAGGCGUUCUGCUAGGCCAAAACUGACACUGAGGGACGAAAGCUAGGGGAGCG
rnacentral:rRNA from 1 species